rnacentral:rRNA from 1 species
UACGUAGGGUGCGAGCGUUGUCCGGAAUUAUUGGGCGUAAAGAGCUCGUAGGCGGCUUGUCACGUCGAUUGUGAAAGCCCGAGGCUUAACCUCGGGUCUGCAGUCGAUACGGGCUAGCUAGAGUGUGGUAGGGGAGAUCGGAAUUCCUGGUGUAGCGGUGAAAUGCGCAGAUAUCAGGAGGAACACCGGUGGCGAAGGCGGAUCUCUGGGCCAUUACUGACGCUGAGGAGCGAAAGCGUGGGGAGCGAACAGG